CAAUUUUUUUCAUUGGCUAAAAGUUGCCGUCAAAUCCACAGUUGACCAGGCGUAACUAAGGAGGGACAACCAUUUUGAAAUGAUUGAAUCAACAAAUGUUCGAUUACAACUAUAUAAUCCAAAAUAAAACAACACCUACCUCGAAUUUGCCGUUUUAAAGUUAUUUUAUCCGAAUUUGAAGCGUACAUGUAACGUAAUAACCUCCAGUUUGUAAGUUUUCAUUUGUCUGACGUCACGUUUACCCAUCACGUCUUUGCGCCAAAGUCAUUCAUGAAGUUUCGCGGAUUUUUUUUUAUUUGUCAAAUUUAGACAUUUUUCCAAGUUUUAUCGUAUUAUUUCUUUUUGAAAUGCAUUAGAAUCGGAAUAACAGUAC
rnacentral:lncRNA from 1 species